AUUGAACGCUGGCGGCAUGCUUUACACAUGCAAGUCGAACGGUAACAGGCCGCAAGGUGCUGACGAGUGGCGAACGGGUGAGUAAUGCAUCGGAACGUGCCCAGUCGUGGGGGAUAACUACUCGAAAGAGUAGCUAAUACCGCAUACGAUCUAUGGAUGAAAGCGGGGGACCGUAAGGCUUCGCGCGAUUGGAGCGGCCGAUGUCAGAUUAGGUAGUUGGUGGGGUAAAGGCUCACCAAGCCAACGAUCUGUAGCUGGUCUGAGAGGACGACCAGCCACACUGGGACUGAGACACGGCCCAGACUCCUACGGGAGGCAGCAGUGGGGAAUUUUGGACAAUGGGCGCAAGCCUGAUCCAGCAAUGCCGCGUGCAGGAAGAAGGCCUUCGGGUUGUAAACUGCUUUUGUACGGAACGAAACGGCUCUGGUUAAUACCCGGGGCUAAUGACGGUACCGUAAGAAUAAGCACCGGCUAACUACGUG
rnacentral:rRNA from 1 species